AGCUCCAAUAGCGUAUAUUAAAGUUGUUGCAGUUAAAAAGCUCGUAGUUGGAUCUUGGGUGACGACUGGGCGGUCCUACGCAAGUGGUGUACUUCCCGGUGGUACCUUGUCUCCAUAUUGGUGCCCGCGUCCUUCACUGGGCGUUGGUCUCGAUGUGGACGUUUACUUUGAAGAAAUUAGAGUGUUCAAAGCAGGCUAGUGCUUGAAUAAUGGUGCAUGGAAUAAUGGAAUAUGACCGUCGUCUUAUUUUGUUGGUUCGAAAGAUCGGUGGUAAUGAUUAAGAGGGACGGACGGGGGCGUUCGUAUUGCGCCGUUAGAGGUGAAAUUCUUGGAUCGGCGCAAGACGAACUACAGCGAAAGCAUUCGCCAAGAACGUUUUCAUUA
rnacentral:rRNA from 1 species